AAAACAAAAUGCUAAGUAAAUAAAGAAGAUACUACGUGCUAUAUUCUUUAUGAACUCAACUGUGUAAAAAAUGAAUUGCUAUAGAAGAAAAUAUAACACAAUUGUUGGGUAGUAGAAUUAUAAUUUAUUGCUUUUUACCAGUUCGUACACUAAUCUAUGCUUUGCAGAUGUUCCCAUAUUAAGUACCCCUUUUGUUAUUUAAAAAAGUUAAGGGAGAGAAAUGUUCAUAAAUCUCUAAUUGGUAGAAUUAGAGAGAGCUAAAAACAGUGCUAAUUAUCAGGCAACGUGGAAACAACUUUGUGGGCAAGAGAGCAUUCCUUUUUUUUUUUUUUAACUGUUUACAAAGAGUUCAAUUAAACUUGUUUUAAAUUAAACACACUAAACAAAAUUAUAAGUUUUGUGAUUAUGAAAAUACUGUUUAUCACUACAUAAAAUACUGUUUAUGGCACUUUAUAGAUUCAAAAAACCUAUUAAUGAUACUUCUUUUCUGGAUUAAAGAUAGUGGAUGUUUAUAUAUAUGUAUGUGUAUAUACAUACACACACACAUAUAUAUGUAAAUGUAUCAUACAGAAAAUAACAUAGGCAUAUGAUUUGGAGAAACAGGGAAAAAAAAGUUACAAAGUGGGAGAAGUCCAUCCCACUAUACAACUCAUUCCCAGAUAUAGCAAUAGUCUCUUAUUCACCUCCUCAGAAAUUUUUGUUGCAUGUAAUCCCAUAUAUAUUCUAUUUCACAUUAGUCAUUCUUCUAUACACUUUAUUUCACUAACACCUUAGAAACAUUUACAUAUCAGUAUGUAUUGAUACAUUUCAUUCUUUAUACAUACCAAUUAGUAUUCUAUUCUAGGGCUGUAACACAUUAUUAGUCAGCCCCCUACUGAUAGACACUGAAGUUAUUCUGUUUUCCUCUAUCACGAACAAGGCUUCAGUGAAUAUCAUUGGACAAAUAUCCUUAUAUACAUGAACAAGUGGAUGCCUAAGAUAUAAAUUCUUAGAAUUUUUGUGUCAAAGACUAUGCGUACAUUGAAAAAAUCUGGUGGUGCUACCAAAUUGCCUUCCAAAGAAUCUGUACCAAUUUACAAUCUAAGGGAACAUUUCUGAUCAACAUAGAUUCUUUAAAGCAGACUCCAGUGCUUUCAAUGGCCAGGAAGAUAACAUAGAGUAGUGAAGCAUGCUGGGCUAAGAAAAUGGCGAACUGGUCUGGUGUGGUGACAUAAUCCCAGCACUUUGGGGAGGCUGAGGCGGGUGGAUCACUUGAGGUCCCUAGGGGUUCAAGACCAGCCUGACCAACAAGAUGAAACCCCGUCUUUAUUAAAAAUACAAAAAUUGGUCGGGUGUGAUGGUGCAUGCCUAAAAUCCCAGCUACUCGGGAGGCUGAGGAGCAGAAUCACUUGAACCCAGGAGGUGGAGGUUGCAGUGAGCCGAGAUCAUGCCACUGCACUCCAGCCUGGGCAACAGAGUUAAAAAAAAAAAAAAAAAAAAAAAGAGGGUAGAAAAAAGAGGGGGGAGGGAGGGGGGAGAGAGAGAGAGGAGGAAAUGGCAAACUGGAGAGGGCAUUUAGUUAUUCAAAGCAGCAGCAUUUACUCAAUUCCAUAAUGCUUUGCAGGAAUAUGCACCCAUGCACCCAAUAUUGUCAGAUUGUCUCACUGCUCAAAAGGACCCAAAACUCCUGACUUCUGCAUGAAAUCUUCAGGUUUUGUAAAAUCUUGGUAACUCAUUCAAAAUUUUAGAAACAGUAUGACAAACAAAACAUGUGAGUAGGAAUCAUCUCCUGGGCCUCCAACUUGUGAGCUAUCCUUUAAAGCUUGCGUUUCCCGAUACCCAAAAGACUGCCUGAAUAGUAGAGGCUGUGUUCAGCAGAUUAUUUCCAAGCUGGGAUUUCCUUCUAUUACAUUUUGUUUUGGGGUUAACUUGAAAAUGGAUUUUAUUAACUACGUGGUUAAUAACUAUCUCCUCAAACUAUUUGGAUAACUUAAUCUACUCUGCCCAGAUAGUUUCAUUAAUCAGUUUCCUAUAAUACAUUCCCUUGCUUUAUAUUCGAGUGUUUUAUUUCUGUUUUCUUCCUUAUAUGAAACUACCAUGUUUUAAGAAUUGAGUCAUUUUCCUAUUAAUAUAAUCUUUUUCCCAAAGGAGAAAAUCUAACCAUUUUUCUAUACUACCUUGCAUUCAACAUAUCCAUCUACAUACAGAAGAAAUUGUGGGAAUGGAGUAAAUUAGAAAGAUGCUACCUCUAAAUAGUAUUUUUAAUCUUUGUAAAAUCUCUUUAUAUUAACUACACUCUUAUUUUAAAAAUGUGAAAAAAUAAAUCCUAAAAUAAGCAGAUCUAUAUUUUAAAAUAUUCAAAUUGAUGGUUAAAAUACUAUUUUAUAUAUAUGCAUAUGGGUGUGUGUAUAUAUAUGUAUAUGGGUAUAUAUAUGGGUAUAUAGAUACACAUACAUGUAUACGAAUAUAUAUACACAUAUAUAUGUAUACGAAUAUAUACACAUGUAUAUGUAUACAAAUAUAUAUACACACACAUGUAUAUGAAUACACACACAUGUAUAUGAAUACACACAUAUAUGAAUACACACACGUAUGUAUAUGAAUACACACACACGUAUGUAUAUGAAUACACACACACGUAUGUAUAUGAAUACACACACACGUAUGUAUAUGAAUACAUACACACGUAUGUAUAUGAAUACAUACACACGUAUGUAUAUGAAUACAUACACACAUAUAUAUGUAUAUGAAUAUAUACACACAUAUAUAUGUAUAUGAAUAUAUACACACAUAUAUAUGUAUAUGAAUAUGUACACACAUAUAUGUAUAUGAAUAUGUACACACAUAUAUAUGUAUAUGAAUAUAUACAUAUAUAUAUUUUUUUUGAGACAAAGUCUCACAGGCUGGAGUGCAGUCACAUGAUCAUGUCUCAUUACAGCCUCGAUCUCCUGGGCUCAAGCGAUCUCGCACCUAGCCUUCCAACCACAGGCACAUGCCACCAUGCCCAGCUUAUUUUUAUUUUUUUGUAGAGAUGGGGUCUGCCUAUGCUGUCUAGGCUGGUCUUGACUUCUGGUCUUAAGCAAUUCUCCCACCUCAGCCUCUCGAAAUGCUGAGAUUACAGACAUAAGCCACCACACUCAGUUAUUUAAUAUUUUAUUAUCUAUCUC
rnacentral:lncRNA from 1 species